GAUGAACGCUGACAGAAUGCUUAACACAUGCAAGUCAACUUGAACUUCGGUUUGGGUGGCGGACGGGUGAGUAACGCGUAAAGAACUUGCCUCACAGCUAGGGACAACAUUUGGAAACGAAUGCUAAUACCUGAUAUUAUGAUUAUAUGGCAUCGUAUAAUUAUGAAAGCUAUAUGCGCUGUGAGAGAGCUUUGCGUCCCAUUAGCUAGUUGGAGAGGUAACAGCUCACCAAGGCGAUGAUGGGUAGCCGGCCUGAGAGGGUGAUCGGCCACAAGGGGACUGAGACACGGCCCUUACUCCUACGUGAGGCAGCAGUGGGGAAUAUUGGACAAUGGACCGAGAGUCUGAUCCAGCAAUUCUGUGUGCACGAUGAAGUUUUUCGGAAUGUAAAGUGCUUUCAGUUGGGAAGAAAAAAAUGACGGUACCAACAGAAGAAGUGACGGCUAAAUACGUG
rnacentral:rRNA from 1 species